rnacentral:lncRNA from 1 species
AUGCAGCAAUAAAAAUUCAAUACAAUGUCUAAUAUCUAUUAUCCUGGGAAAUCACGCAUCUUCUUAAUGUUGUGCUGCUGAAAUAGACACAAAAAUAUUGCACGAUGAAGUAUUGGCAGUGUCUUGUCUGCUUUUGUCAUGGCAAUAGUUUCCUAUUGCUGCUGUAACAAAUUGCCAGAAAUUUGGAACCUUAAAACAACAAAAAUGUAUUAGGUCACACUCGUGUGGGUCAGAAGUUUGAUAAGGGUCUUACCAGGGUGAAAACAAGGUGUCAACAAGGCAGUAUUUGUUUCCUUCUCCCAGAGGCAGUUUGGGAUUUCUGUUUUAGAUUUUUAGCAGAAUUAAGUUCUUCAUAGAUGUGUGACUAAAUUUUAUAAUUUUUUAGAUCAGAAGUCUGACAGGGGUUUCACGGGGCUAAAUUCAAGGUUUUGGAAGGGCUGUGUUCUUUUUUGGAAGGUCUAAAGGAGCAACAGGUCCUAGCCUUUUCCAGCUUCUGGAGGCCACCUGUUUUUUGUUUUGUUUGUUUGUUUGUUUGUUUUGCAGGUGUUUCUUCUUCCUUCAUCUUACAGUCAGUAUUGAAUAUAGUUUAGGAUGCAGUAACUUCCACUGUGGGUGGACAAUCAAGACAUCCAGAAAGAGAUUGUUAGUUAAUGAUAAAAAACAAGACUUGGAGGAGAAAAUGAACUCACAGAAAAAUCUCAGGAAGAGGCAACAAUAAUGGCACUUUGUAGCAGGAUUCUAUAGGACUUAGUGACGGAUUUAACACAGCAUGAAGGAGAGGAAUGAGACUGCAAUUUAGGAAAUUUAUGUUGCCAUUAACAAUAUACAAGAUCAUAAAGGAUAACAGAUUUGGAAUGGGAUGAGUGCAUUUUUUUCAUUUUGAGGUGACAGCAAACUUGCCCAGCAGGCAUUUGAAUAAAUAGUAUAUUUUGACAUUUGAGAAGGAUAGACCACAAAAUAAAAAUCUCCACAUUUGUGAAUACCAUGAUGGCACAAAAGUAAUUUGUUGGGGAGGGGAAGCAUUCUAAAAUCUGAUUAAACCCUAGUCUUUCAGAAGG